UACGGGGGGGGCAAGCGUUGUUCGGAAUUACUGGGCGUAAAGGGCUCGUAGGCGGCCAACUAAGUCAGACGUGAAAUCCCUCGGCUUAACCGGGGAACUGCGUCUGAUACUGGAUGGCUUGAAUCCGGGAGAGGGAUGCGGAAUUCCAGGUGUAGCGGUGAAAUGCGCAGAUAUCAGGAGGAACACCGAUUGCGAAGGCAGCUCGCUGGGACGUAACUGACGCUGAGGAGCGAAAGCGUGGGUAGCAAACAGG
rnacentral:rRNA from 1 species